CGUAGGGUGCGAGCGUUAAUCGGAAUUACUGGGCGUAAAGCGUGCGCAGGCGGUUUGUAAGACAGAUGUGAAAUCCCCGGGCUCAACCUGGGACCUGCAUUUGUGACUGCAAGGCUAGAGUACGGUAGAGGGGGAUGGAAUUCCGCGUGUAGCAGUGAAAUGCGUAGAUAUGCGGAGGAACACCGAUGGUGAAGGCAAUCCCCUGGACCUGUACUGACGCUCAUGCACGAAAGCGUGGGGAGCAAACAGGAUUAGAUACCCUGGUAGUCCACGCCCUAAACGAUGUCAACUGGUUGUUGGGUCUUUACUGACUCAGUAACGAAGCUAACGCGUGAAGUUGACCGCCUGGGGAGUACGGCCGCAAGGUUG
rnacentral:rRNA from 1 species